GGAAGUAAAAGUCGUAACAAGGUCUCCGUUGGUGAACCAGCGGAGGGAUCAUUACCGAGUUUACAACUCCCAAACCCAAUGUGAACGUUACCAAACUGUUGCCUCGGCGGGGUCACGCCCCGGGUGCGUCGCAGCCCCGGAACCAGGCGCCCGCCGGAGGAACCAACCAAACUCUUUACUGUAGUCCCCUCGCGGACGUUUUUACUUACAGCUCUGAGCAAAAAUUCAAAAUGAAUCAAAACUUUCAACAACGGAUCUCUUGGUUCUGGCAUCGAUGAAGAACGCAGCGAAAUGCGAUAAGUAAUGUGAAUUGCAGAAUUCAGUGAAUCAUCGAAUCUUUGAACGCACAUUGCGCCCGCCAGUAUUCUGGCGGGCAUGCCUGUCCGAGCGUCAUUUCAACCCUCGAACCCCUCCGGGGGGUCGGCGUUGGGGAUGCGGGAACCCCUAAGACGGGAUCCCGGCCCCGAAAUACAGUGGCGGUCUCGCCGCAGCCUCUCCUGCGCAGUAGUUUGCACAACUCGCACCGGGAGCGCGGCGCGUCCACGUCCGUAAAACACCCAACUUCUGAAAUGUUGACCUCGGAUCAGGUAGGAAUACCCGCUGGACUUAAGCAUAUCAAUAAGCGGAGGA
rnacentral:rRNA from 1 species